AGAGUUUGAUCCUGGCUCAGGACGAACGCUGGCGGCACGCUUAACACAUGCAAGUCGAACGAGAGAAGAGAAGCUUGCUUUUCUGAUCUAGUGGCGGACGGGUGAGUAACACGUGAGCAAUCUGCCUUUCAGAGGGGGAUACCGAUUGGAAACGAUCGUUAAUACCGCAUAACAUAAUUGAACCGCAUGAUUUGAUUAUCAAAGAUUUAUCGCUGAAAGAUGAGCUCGCGUCUGAUUAGCUAGUUGGUAAGGUAACGGCUUACCAAGGCGACGAUCAGUAGCCGGACUGAGAGGUUGAUCGGCCACAUUGGGACUGAGACACGGCCCAGACUCCUACGGGAGGCAGCAGUGGGGAAUAUUGCACAAUGGAGGAAACUCUGAUGCAGCGAUGCCGCGUGAGGGAAGAAGGUUUUAGGAUUGUAAACCUCUGUCUUCAGGGACGAAAAAAGACGGUACCUGAGGAGGAAGCUCCGGCUAACUACGUGCCAGCAGCCGCGGUAAUACGUAGGGAGCGAGCGUUGUCCGGAAUUACUGGGUGUAAAGGGAGCGUAGGCGGGAUCGCAAGUCAGAUGUGAAAACUAUGGGCUUAACCCAUAAACUGCAUUUGAAACUGUGGUUCUUGAGUGAAGUAGAGGUAAGCGGAAUUCCUAGUGUAGCGGUGAAAUGCGUAGAUAUUAGGAGGAACAUCAGUGGCGAAGGCGGCUUACUGGGCUUUAACUGACGCUGAGGCUCGAAAGCGUGGGGAGCAAACAGGAUUAGAUACCCUGGUAGUCCACGCCGUAAACGAUGAUUACUAGGUGUGGGGGGACUGACCCCUUCCGUGCCGCAGCAAACGCAAUAAGUAAUCCACCUGGGGAGUACGACCGCAAGGUUGAAACUCAAAGGAAU
rnacentral:rRNA from 1 species